GUGCCAGCAGCCGCGGUAAUACGGAGGAGGCAAGCGUUAUCCGGAAUUAUUGGGCGUAAAGCGUCCGUAGGUGGUUUGUCAAGUCAGUUGUUAAAGCGUGGAGCUUAACUCCAUAACGGCAAUUGAAACUGACAGGCUAGAGUGCGAUAGGGGCAAGGGGAAUUCCCAGUGUAGCGGUGAAAUGCGUAGAUAUUGGGAAGAACAUCGGUGGCGAAAGCGCCUUGCUGGGUCUGCACUGACACUGAGGGACGAAAGCUAGGGGAGCGAAAGGGAUUAGAUACCCCGGUAGUCC
rnacentral:rRNA from 1 species